GAAGGGGGCUAGCGUUGCUCGGAUUUACUGGGCGUAAAGGGCGCGUAGGCGGACAGUUUAGUCAGAGGUGAAAGCCCAGGGCUCAACCUUGGAAUUGCCUUUGAUACUGGCUGUCUUGAGUACGGGAGAGGUGAGUGGAACUCCGAGUGUAGAGGUGAAAUUCGUAGAUAUUCGGAAGAACACCAGUGGCGAAGGCGACUCACUGGCCCGUUACUGACGCUGAGGCGCGAAAGCGUGGGGAGCAAACAGGAUUAGAUACCCUGGUAGUCCACGCUGUAAACGAUGAGUGCUAGUUGUCGGGCGGCAUGCCGUUCGGUGACGCAGCUAACGCAUUAAGCACUCCGCCUGGGGAGUACGGUCGCAAGAUUA
rnacentral:rRNA from 1 species